CCCUUCCCAGGAGAUUUCAUUCCUACAACAUUCCCAUCCGCUAAUGUGAUGAGCAUGAAACAAUAUAGACAUAGCCGUUAAACCCACGGCUUAUCCUAAUAGCAAAUCCACCCAAACACUUCCCGGGUCAUGACCCCCUCUGUGUAGAUUGAUUCCAAAUAUCACCGGUGAUUCCGACUAUCAAUCCGAUGCACAAUCAGCAUCUUGGGCAGAACAGAGAGCAACUAGGCAUGUUAUAUGUUACCGUUGGGUGAAGCUGAGGAAUUUGGUUGAAGCCGCAUCUGCGCUGAUCCCGUCCAUGAUCCAUGCAUGGGGACCCCCCACUCCAGGCAAUGAAUCGAAAUCUCUCUAUGUAGAAAUAUCAGCAGGGGAUCCAACCCCCCGUGGGCAUCCCAGGAAGGACGGUGUUCCCGACCCCCUGUCUACACUCGGGCACAAGUCACUGGGAUCUGCAGCCCAUUGAAUACAAGGGAAUCACUGGAAGAUCUGUCGAAUGAUUUAUGAGGUUCCUGGAGAUGUUAUUUCUACCCAAAUGCCACUGAGCAAUAUGAUUGCCGCGAGCUGUGCCAUUUGUAUUUGUAAUCUCACUACCCCCCCCCCAGAAUAUUUCUGUACCUGAAGUAUUCCCAGUGACAUUUGUACCGCUAAUGUGCAAUGAUGAACUUCUCUUCCCUUCAGUGUCACUCACAUGCACCUCUUUCCCCACUCCUCCUUAUAUUACUCUAUUUAUCUUCUCUCUAUUUAUCUUUUCUCUGUUCAUCUUCAUUCCUAGUGUUUCAACUUAAAUGCGACAUAGAGCAGCAAAUAUGCACUCAUGUUACCAACUGCCAACUGUCUCCUUUUGCUUCUAACCAUAGAUAUAUAGAAACAUUGGGGUAACAGUCACCCUGCUAUAGUUCCAGGGGUACCCAGGGCACAAAUAAACACUCACCCCAAAUCUCCCCCUAACUGACCUUCA